AGAGCCUGUGGUGCCACAAGGGAACAGCCUGUGAGCCUGUCCUCCACUGCGCCCUGCGCUUCUGACUCAGACUAACACACCAGGAUUUUCCAUUUCAACAGCAGUGUCUGUGGUCCUCUUUUCUAAGUGAAAGAGUCCAAGCUAAGGUUGGCUAGAGGGAUCCUUGCAGCUCCGGAGCAGGUGUAGGGCUGAUACCAGCCCUCUGCUGUUAUUUGACAGCUUGCAAAAUGUACAAACUGGCCAGAUACAGGUGUGUGCUUGCAUGUGUGUGCAUACACACACAUAUCUGAAUAUAUAUGUGUGUGUAUCUACACAUCAUACUAAUAAACUAAUAACUUCCAUGGGCAAUAAAUUUUCAAAUUUCUUAAGGAUUCAGAUAAGGAGAAUGUAUAUAAUCAACACAUUAAUUAUUAUGCAUACAUAAACAUACUAAUACUCUUAAUACGCCCUUUGAAAAAAUAUAUUCAACCAGCUUAAUUUUUCUAAUUUUGUUUUUGUUAAAUCCUGUUUUCUUAUUAACUAUUGAUUGCUAAGCAGCAGGCAGUGUGCUAAGUAUGUUACCUGGAUUAUCUGGUUAAUCCUUCCAAUAGCUACACGGUGAAGACACAGAUGUCCACAUCUUCUGCAGAUAAGGAAACUGAGGGGUAAUAAUAAAUAAUUUGCACAACACAGCACAAAGCUGAGGAGCCAACACUGGACCUGACGAAGUCCCAUUCUGGAAGCCAAACUCCCAACUGCUAAGCUCUGCUUGAAUUCUCAUUGAGCAUCUCGCUUCUUAAAAGUUUCAACAACUCAGCAGUCUAUAAUCCAACUCGCCUUCUCCACAAUGCCAAAAGUGCAAUGAGCUUCAUGCUGAAUACUGAUUUGAAGUGUGGUUCACCACACAGACUUAAAUUGUCCUUCCCACAACUUUAUCUGAGAAGCAUGACAACGGUGACAAUCACAGGACUAGUUUUAUUGGUCAGGAUGUGGUGUUACUAUAUUAAAGCGCUUCAAGUUUUCAUAGCGCUCGUCAAACAGAGACCUCGGAACGCUCUGCAGACAUUAAUUAAUGUUCGCUCCGGCCCUGGAAGCCAUUUCACCAAUGGAAAUUCCGAUGAGAAAGGAAGAAACGAGGGGUUCAAGGCCGCGCCGUUGUGAGUCCGCUGCGGAACUAGGAACUGAAACCCCGUGGUUCCCAAUGAGCCAGCGAAAGUCUGUCGAAGUAUUGAGCACCCCUAUUGAAGACUGUGGGAGUUUUGGCGGCUUAAUGGGAUUGUGUUCGGUCCUUCAGGCUCUCCUUUAAAAGAUUCCAUGGCACCAACGAGACUCCAAUAAAAGGGCCUCUCUAA
rnacentral:lncRNA from 1 species